rnacentral:lncRNA from 1 species
UGCUGCGUAAAAGCUCUCUUGUGAUCCGCAAGAAGCAGCGCCGCCGCCGGAGCAUUGCCAGUCUUAGCCCUUGCUUGAAGCUUUAGCCCAUCCGCCCAAGUUCGCUUCGUUCCGACCCCAAGCCUUCCUUUCAGGAAGAAGGUGAGUUGCCGACCCCAGUCCGCCUCGCCCGACCCCUCAUAUCCGCCCGACCCCGGUUCCGUCUCGCCCGACCCUGUCUGUUCCGCCGACCCUUAUCCGCCUCGCCCGAGGGCUUGGCUGUGAUCUUUUUCUUCAACUCGAGGGUGUAUGUGUAAAACUUGGGAACCCUUCAACGCUUGCGUCUAAGGACCCCCAGUUAUCACAUCCUCUAGUUCAAGGGUCAGACCACUAGUUCCUUUCCUACCCUUACCUCUUGAUCAUCAUCAGCUCUUGAACCACCAUAACCUCCUGCUCCUUGUCGCGAGUUUCUGGGCUCAGGCGAGCCAGUGUUGCUGUUGAAAUAACCGUCUAUGCUAACCCUUGCAUUGCAUUCGUGUAGAGCUGCACCUCGCCGACGGCUUCUACGAGCUUCACCCGACGCCAGAAGAAGAAGCUGUAGCCGAGCUCCUGUCCUCCGAAGC